rnacentral:rRNA from 1 species
UACGUAGGGACCGAGCGUUGUCCGGAUUCAUUGGGCGUAAAGAGCUCGUAGGCGGCUAUUCAAGUCGAACGUGAAAUCUCGGAGCUCAACUCCGAAACUGCAUUCGAUACUGCCGUGCUUGAGGACUGGAGAGGAGACUGGAAUUUACGGUGUAGCGGUGAAAUGCGUAGAUAUCGUAAGGAAGACCAGUGGCGAAGGCGGGUCUCUGGGCCGAUACUGACGCUGAGGAGCGAAAGCGUGGGGAGCGAACAGG